AUUGAACGCUGGCGGCAUGCCUUACACAUGCAAGUCGAACGGCAGCACGGGAGCAAUCCUGGUGGCGAGUGGCGAACGGGUGAGUAAUGUAUCGGAACGUGCCCAGUCGUGGGGGAUAACGUAGCGAAAGCUACGCUAAUACCGCAUACGAUCUAUGGAUGAAAGCGGGGGACCGUAAGGCCUCGCGCGAUUGGAGCGGCCGAUAUCAGAUUAGGUAGUUGGUGGGGUAAAGGCCUACCAAGCCGACGAUCUGUAGCUGGUCUGAGAGGACGACCGGCCACACUGGGACUGAGCCCCGGCCCAGACUCCUACGGGAGGCAGCAGUGGGGAAUUUUGGACAAUGGGCGCAAGCCUGAUCCAGCAAUGCCGCGUGCAGGAUGAAGGCCUUCGGGUUGUAAACUGCUUUUGUACGGAGCGAAAAGGCUCUCUCUAAUACAGGGGGCUCAUGACGGUACCGUAAGAAUAAGCACCGGCUAACUACGUGCCAGCAGCCGCCGUAAAAC
rnacentral:rRNA from 1 species